AACGAACGCUGGCGGCAGGCCUAAAACAUGCAAGUCGAACGAACUCUUCGGAGUUAGUGGCGCACGGGUGAGUAACGCGUGGGAAUAUGCCCUUCACUGCGGAAUAACAGUUGGAAACGACUGAUAAUACCGCAUAACGUCUUCGGACCAAAGAUUUAUCGGUGAAGGAUUAGCCCGCGUUAGAUUAGAUAGUUGGUGGGGUAAAGGCCUACCAAGUCGACGAUCUAUAGCUGAUUUGAGAGGAUGAUCAGCCACACUGGUACUGAGACACGGACCAGACUCCUACGGGAGGCAGCAGUUAGGAAUAUUGGACAAUGGGCGAAAGCCUGAUCCAGCCAUGCCGCGUGAGUGAAGACGGCCUUAGGGUUGUAAAGCUCUUUCAGGUGUGAGGAUAAUGACAGUAACACCAGAAGAAGCCCCGGCUAAAUUCGUGCCAGCAGCCGCGGUAAUACGAAUGGGGCGAGCGUUGUUCGGAAUCACUGGGCGUAAAGCGUAUGUAGGCGGAAUUGAAAGUCAGAAGUGAAAUCCCAGGGCUUAACCCUGGAACUGCUUUUGAAACUUCAAUUCUAGAGUUCUGGAGAGGCAAGGGGAAUUCCGAGUGUAGAGGUGAAAUUCGCAGAUAUUCGGAGGAACACCAGUGGCGUAGGCGCCUUGCUGGACAGAUACUGACGCUGAGAUACGAAAGCGUGGGGAGCAAACAGGAUUAGAUACCCUGGUAGUCCACGCCGUAAACUAUGUGUGCUAGUUGUCGGGCCCUUAGGGUUCGGUGACGCCGCUNACGCAUUAAGCACACCGCCUGGGGAGUACGGUCGCAAGAUUA
rnacentral:rRNA from 1 species